rnacentral:rRNA from 1 species
AUUGAACGCUGGCGGCAGGCCUAACACAUGCAAGUCGAGCGGAUGAAGGGAGCUUGCUCCUGGAUUCAGCGGCGGACGGGUGAGUAAUGCCUAGGAAUCUGCCUGGUAGUGGGGGAUAACGUCCGGAAACGGGCGCUAAUACCGCAUACGUCCUGAGGGAGAAAGUGGGGGAUCUUCGGACCUCACGCUAUCAGAUGAGCCUAGGUCGGAUUAGCUAGUUGGUGGGGUAAAGGCCUACCAAGGCGACGAUCCGUAACUGGUCUGAGAGGAUGAUCAGUCACACUGGAACUGAGACACGGUCCAGACUCCUACGGGAGGCAGCAGUGGGGAACAUUGGACAAUGGGCGAGAGCCUGAUCCAGCCAUGCCGCGUGUGUGAAGAAGGUCUUCGGAUUGUAAAGCACUUUAAGUUGGGAGGAAGGGCAGUAAGUUAAUACCUUGCUGUUUUGACGUUACCAACAGAAUAAGCACCGGCUAACUUCGUG